ACUGUCUCGCCUUACCCUCCUCCAAAAAGGGAACACUUUUCUCCUGCACUCAGUGUUUUCAUUAGGAAAAGAGGCGAACAGCAGAACAGGGGCUACACCGAGCUACCAACUACGGGCCCUAAAGUUUCUCAGCUGGGGUGGGUGGUUACUCAGAGCCAUGGCCAACCAGUCCAUCUGUGUUGCUCUCCUGGUUCUUUUGAUUGGUCACGUGUUGGCAGUGACUGAAAUUGAACAUGCAAACAGAAACACUCAAACAGCUCCCUGCCAGGACCACAGCAAGCUUAAUGACAGACUGGAUGCAGUAGAAAAGAGGGUCGAAGAGACGGUACAGAAGCUGGAGGCUGAGCUGGCCGUGCUGCUCGAUACCAUCCAGGCUCCUGAAUGGAGCUCCCUACUGAACACUGCUGGUCCUGCUGUAGACAUACUGGAUGAAAGCAAUGUCCCACCAACCUCUUGAGAUCCAAACGAGACAAAGAAAGAAAGCUCACACAAGUCAGAUUGCCUGGUAUUCGUGUACUGCUGCUCCGAACUGCACAGAACAGACGGGAUCUGAUUGGGGCGACAGAUUAAGUGCCGUGUCCUCCAGACUAUGCCACUCCAGUCUUCUUUCAAGACCAACCUAGAAUCCAAGGACGUACCCUUUGUCUCAGUACUCUUACCUCUCCUCUUGUUCGCUUUUCUUCUUUUUUUAUUUUUAUUUGAUAGAAUUUUGGAGUGACCUUGAGCAUGAAGAGGAUGUUCUCUCUUCUUUUCUUGUUAUAAUAAUAUACAGAAAAAUGUAACAAAAAAUUCCCGGUAAGACAAAGACACACACUUACUGUACAGUUUAAUAUGAUUUCUGAUGUUUGAUGUUAAUCCCUUAUGAAGAGACAAAGCCAGUGUCCUUAAACAUUUUAUUAUUAUUUUCAGUAUCAUUAAAACAAACUAUGAGAUGCCAAAAGUUAAACAGAGUCUAUUGAUACAUAUCAUGCCAUCCACGAUUAUUUGAAGACGAUACUUUGCUUUGUAGAGUCGAACAUCUCCAGCUGAUAACGCAGUCCUAACGCAAGUGUAUGGAGUUCGGAUGGCGAUACGGAUGUCACCGGUGAAUGUGUUGUCAUCAUCUCAAUGCUUAAGAGUUUGUUUUCAUUUUCAUGGUGCGUGUGUACGACAAAGCAACAUAUCUACGACCAUAUGCCUUCCCCCGAAACACCCAAGCUUUAAAAAGUCUUUGUAAAUAGGGGUACAUGCAAAAGUGUCAAAGUUUAAUCAAUAUGCUAUGGUAUCAGUAUAGUAAUCGAUAACUUACAGUGAAUUAAUGUCCACUUGAGGCUAACAGUAGAAUUUAUGUUUAAUUCCAGAAACAUUCCAUGUUUUUUUUUUUUUUUUUUUUUUUAC